ACACACUCUUCUCGGUGAAAAUGUAAUGUCAAGCAAUGCAGACUGGGCAAUGGAUCAAUCCCAAUUACUUAGCAGAAACAUCUGCGAAAUAGAGUAUAUAAAGAGGACAUUCAUAUCCAGAACCGGCAUUACAGGUAUUUCAGUGUUACCCAGCAUCUGGAGCAACAGAAAGUGUACUGAAGUGGAGAUGGAGAAUAGUGAAGGGUCAUAGGAAGGAUGACUAUCUGAGCUGGACAAUUAUGUGAACCAGCUACAGGAAGAGUUUGAAAAGCAGUUAGAGGUCACGUACAACCUGCAGCUGGAGGUUCUGCGAAAGUUUAUAAGAGAACUCCAACCAAUGGUAAACAAAAACAGCAGCCUACAGGAAAUAUUCCCAUCAUUUCCUAUCCUGCAUUUAGACAUCUACCGAAUUUGCAACAACUGAUUGUGUGGAGCUUCCUGAACAAACCAACAAGACAAGGCACGUCUGCCUUCUUCCAUUUUGGUGCAUUUAAUCCUGUAUGUGAAAUGUCCCAGGACUUAAUGUGAGAUUAAAGACAAA